ACGCGUGACGUGCCUAGAUGACGAUAUNCCGGGAAAUGGGAGCAUACGUAUGUGACCGAAGGUGAAAGAUUAUCGCCUUAGGAUCGGCCGCGUUAAAUUACUAUUUGGUGGGGUAUGGCCUACAGGGAGAUCUAUAGCUGUUCUGAAGGAAGAUCACCACACUGGGACUGAACACGGCCAACUCCUACGGGAGGCACAUCGGGAAUCUUGGACAAUGGGCGCAAGCCUGAUCCAGCCAUGCCGGUGAAUGAUGAAGGCCUUAGGGUUGUAAAAUUCUUUCGUCGGGGACGAUAAUGACGGUACCCGAAGAAGAAGCUCCGGCUAACUUCGUGCCAGCAGCCGCGGUAAAUACGAAGGGGGCUAGCGUUGCUCGGAAUUAUUGGGUGUAAAGCGCACGUAGCGGUUCGAUGUCGGAUGUGAAAGCCCCUGGGCUUUAACCCAGGAAGUGCAUCCCGAAAAACUUGGGCGGAGCCUUUGAAGUUACCGGGAAAGAAGGGGUCCUUCGGGAAAUUUCCCCGGGUGUUAAAGGGUUGAAAAUCCCGGAAAAUUUCCGGGGAGGGAAACACCCAAGUGGGCGAAAGGGCGGGAAGAACCUGGGGG
rnacentral:rRNA from 1 species